GGGUUGUGAGGUUAAGCGACUAAGCGUACACGGUGGAUGCCCUGGCAGUCAGAGGCGAUGAAGGACGUGCUAAUCUGCGAAAAGCGCCGGCGAGGUGAUAUGAACCCUUGACCCGGCGAUGUCCGAAUGGGGAAACCCAGUGCAAUCCGUUGCACUAUCGUUAACUGAAUACAUAGGUUAACGAGGCGAACCGGGGGAACUGAAACAUCUAAGUACCCCGAGGAAAAGAAAUCAACCGAGAUUCCCCCAGUAGCGGCGAGCGAACGGGGAGCAGCCCGGAGUCUGAAUCAGCUUGUGUGUUAGUGGAACGGUCUGGAAAGUCCGACGGUACAGGGUGAUAGUCCCGUACACGAAAGCACACUUGCUGUGAACUCGAAGAGUAGGGCGGGACACGUGGUAUCCUGUCUGAAUAUGGGGGGACCAUCCUCCAAGGCUAAAUACUCCUGACUGACCGAUAGUGAACCAGUACCGUGAGGGAAAGGCGAAAAGAACCCCGGCGAGGGGAGUGAAAAAGAACCUGAAACCGUGUACGUACAAGCAGUGGGAGCCUCUUUAUGGGGUGACUGCGUACCUUUUGUAUAAUGGGUCAGCGACUUAUAUUCUGUAGCAAGGUUAACCGUAUAGGGGAGCCGAAGGGAAACCGAGUCUUAACUGGGCGUUAAGUUGCAGGGUAUAGACCCGAAACCCGGUGAUCUAGCCAUGGGCAGGUUGAAGGUUGGGUAACACUAACUGGAGGACCGAACCGACUAAUGUUGAAAAAUUAGCGGAUGACCUGUGGCUGGGGGUGAAAGGCCAAUCAAACCGGGAGAUAGCUGGUUCUCCCCGAAAGCUAUUUAGGUAGCGCCUCGUGAACUCAUCUUCGGGGGUAGAGCACUGUUUCGGCUAGGGGGCCAUCCCGGCUUACCAACCCGAUGCAAACUACGAAUACCGAAGAAUGUUAUCACGGGAGACACACGGCGGGUGCUAACGUCCGUCGUGAAGAGGGAAACAACCCAGACCGCCAGCUAAGGUCCCAAAGUCAUGGUUAAGUGGGAAACGAUGUGGGAAGGCACAGACAGCCAGGAUGUUGGCUUAGAAGCAGCCAUCAUUUAAAGAAAGCGUAAUAGCUCACUGGUCGAGUCGGCCUGCGCGGAAGAUGUAACGGGGCUAAACCAUGCACCGAAGCUGCGGCAGCGACACUAUGUGUUGUUGGGUAGGGGAGCGUUCUGUAAGCCGUUGAAGGUGUGCUGUGAGGCAUGCUGGAGGUAUCAGAAGUGCGAAUGCUGACAUAAGUAACGAUAAAGCGGGUGAAAAGCCCGCUCGCCGGAAGACCAAGGGUUCCUGUCCAACGUUAAUCGGGGCAGGGUGAGUCGACCCCUAAGGCGAGGCCGAAAGGCGUAGUCGAUGGGAAACAGGUUAAUAUUCCUGUACUUGGUGUUACUGCGAAGGGGGGACGGAGAAGGCUAUGUCAGCCGGGCGACGGUUGUCCCGGUUUAAGCAUGUAGGCGGAGGUUCCAGGUAAAUCCGGUACCUUGUUAACGCUGAGGUGUGAUGACGAGGCACUACGGUGCUGAAGUGAUAAAUGCCCUGCUUCCAGGAAAAGCCUCUAAGCAUCAGGUAACACGAAAUCGUACCCCAAACCGACACAGGUGGUCAGGUAGAGAAUACCAAGGCGCUUGAGAGAACUCGGGUGAAGGAACUAGGCAAAAUGGUGCCGUAACUUCGGGAGAAGGCACGCUGAU
rnacentral:rRNA from 1 species